CCUACGGGAGGCAGCAGUGGGGAAUCUUGGGCAAUGGGCGAAAGCCUGACCCAGCGACGCCGCGUGGGGGAAGAAGGCCUUCGGGUUGUAAACCUCUUUCAGCGGGGACGAAGCGAAAGUGACGGUACCCGCAGAAGAAGCCCCGGCUAACUACGUGCCAGCAGCCGCGGUAAGACGUAGGGGGCGAGCGUUGUCCGGAUUUAUUGGGCGUAAAGCGCGCGCAGGCGGCCCGGUAAGUCGGAUGUGAAAACCCGGGGCUCAACCCCGGGCCUGCAUUCGAUACUGCCGGGCUCGAGGCAGGCAGGGGAGAUCGGAAUUCCCGGUGUAGCGGUGAAAUGCGCAGAUAUCGGGAGGAACACCGGUGGCGAAGGCGGAUCUCUGGGCCUGUCCUGACGCUCAGGCGCGAAAGCUGGGGGAGCGAACAGGAUUAGAUACCCUGG
rnacentral:rRNA from 1 species